rnacentral:rRNA from 1 species
AGAAUCAACGCUGGCGGCGUGCCUAACACAUGCAAGUCGAACGAGAAAGUGGAGCAAUCCAUGAGUAAAGUGGCGCACGGGUGAGUAACACGUGACUAACCUACCCUUGAGUGGGGGAUAACCUAGGGAAACCUGGGCUAAUACCGCAUAAUACCUUCGGGUCAAAGGAGCAAUUCGCUUAAGGAGGGGGUCGCGGCCGAUUAGUUAGUUGGCGGGGUAAUGGCCCACCAAGACUGUGAUCGGUAUCCGGCCUGAGAGGGCGCACGGACACACUGGAACUGAAACACGGUCCAGACUCCUACGGGAGGCAGCAGUGGGAAUUUUGCGCAAUGGGGGAAACCCUGACGCAGCAACGCCGCGUGGAGGAUGAAGUCCCUGGGACGUAAACUCCUUUCGAUCGGGACAUUAUGACGGUACGGAAGAAGAAGCCCCGGCUAACUUCGCGCCAGCAGCCGC